rnacentral:rRNA from 1 species
UACAGAGACCUCAAGCGUUAUCCGGAAUCAUUGGGCGUAAAGCGUACCGAUAGGUGGUUUAACAAGUCAGAAGUGAAAUCUCCGAGCUCAACUCGGAAUCUGUCUUUUGAAACUGUUAAACUAGAGGGGCAAAGAGGAAGCUGGAACGAACGGUGUAGUAGUGAAAUGCGUUGAUAUCGUUCGGAACACCAAUAGCGUAGGCAGGCUUCUGGGUGCAACCUGACACUGCUAGGACGAAAGCGUGGGGAGCGAAUGGG